GGCCUCAAGGAUCUACUGGAAGGAGUCCCUGGGGCCUUGCUCAGGAAUGGCCCUGGGGGGGGCUCCUUACUGCUCCCAGGAAGUGCAAGUUUUCAAAGGACUUUGUGUUUUACUUUUGCCUUGGAGUCUCUGAGAGGUUUGUGCAAUCAUGGUCUCCAAUUAUCUGCUGUAAUCGGUCCCUAGAGAGGCUUUGUUAGUAACAACACUCAUUGGGCUCAUUAUUGCUUCAAGGUACUUCAGUUAUUUUAAGUUACUUGGUGAUUCUGUAUCUGUAUUCUGUGUUUCUGUCUGUAUCUUUUAAUACAGACUCUAUGAGAGGUUUGUGCAAUCAUGGCCCCAAUUAUCUGUGUUAAUUAGUCCCUUGAGAGCUUUGUACUGACACUCAGUUUGGCUCAUUAAUGCUUUGAGAUACUCAAGGUGUUCAAUUUACUUUGGAUUUUUCAUUCCACAGUGUCUCUGAGAGGUUUUUGUGCCAUCCUGGCCUCCAAUUCUCUCCUCCAAGGAGUCCAUGAGAAGCCUGUGUUGGGGAUGGACCUCAGUGGGAUCUAUUAAUGCUUUGAGACACUUUGGGUGUUUCCUCUGACUUGGACUCCUGGAAAGUUUUGUGCAAUCUCCUCUCAGGGCCUGAGGUUCAAGGGCUCAGCUCCAAAUGCACCAUAGGGCUCAUUAGGAUCAAACAAGUCCUAACAAACCAUGGUGCUGCCCUGAUUUCCCUCUGGUAUUGAGCAGUUCAUUUGGAAGGUUUCCUGCUGGAGAAAUAUUUCAAAGGCUUUCUAGGAAAUAUAUGUUCCUAUUUUAAAGGGUGUAUUUUAUUACUUUUCUUAUUACACAAGAGGUGAUUGCAGCAUUCUAUGAUGGAUACUGACCCAGGGACGCUUUUGAGGAGUUCUGGCCUGGUCAGAGAAGCUGUGCCUUGAGGAUGGACCAGUGUGGAUGACCUUGAUCCACAUUCCCCAGCCCCAUCCUUGUCUCUCCUCACUCACCUGGGACCUGAUUUGCUUGGAGAACUGGCUGAACCCAACCAAAGAGGGAUUUUGCCUUUUUAAUUUUUUGAAGCAAUCUAAAUCUCCUGAGGCCCCCAUUGAAAACACCCUCCUCAAGUGUGUGCCAAGCCCAAGGUGCCAGCAAGACCACUGCAGACCUGCCCUGGGUCGGCUGUGAGGAUGGAUCAUCAUCCCAGCCUGCACUGGGCCAUUGAAAGGGGCUGUUGCCAUGGACACUGCACUGACCCCACUGCUGCGUUUGGGUGCCAUGGCAACCCUCAUCAGUUCAAGUUUCCUUGGAAACCACCCCAAGGAGCCAUUUCUGCAGCCAGAUUCCAUGGCCACUUGCGUGCAGAGCUGUUGCUGUCCUUGGCUGCCACAGCAACCCUCAGGACAAAGCAGUGCCAGGGCUGUUCCAGGGAGAUAUCGUCUGUUAUUGGGCCAUUGAGUGUCACUGCAUGACUGAUAAAAAUUACACCAUCCCAUCAUGAGAAGCUCUGCCCAGAGGGAGGAGCCAAGCAUUCCUAUCUGGAUAUAAUCUGAGGCUUGAAACACAAUAGCCAGCCUUCUCCCACAGGAUUCCCAGAUGAGCAGCUUUCUUCUCCACUAGAUCCCAGAGGAAGACCAGGCCCACCUACACCACCACUGGACCUUCAGAGGAAAACUCCACCCUUCUACAAAAUCACUGCUUCAACAGAACCACAUCUGUCACUGCAGGAGCACUGCAGCCACCAUUUAAUGGGAUUGCUACCACCACCCUGACCCACUGGGUGUCAGGUUGUAGUCUGACUCUACAAGGAACUGAGAAUGGAGACGAUGGAGGACAAAUCCCCAUGUCAGAACCCCAUGGAAGAGGCCGUUUUGAGUGGCUCCAUGGUGCAGGAAUCCAACAGGGAGGAAAAAUCUCUGAAAUCCAACAUGUGGAGGGGCUGCAAACCCCGCCCAGGGUGCUCUGAGGAGGAAAGCCCCACCCUGUGCCAGGAAGGUGGAGAGAGCUUCAGCCAGAGCUUGGAGCUGGUUGUCCCUGAAUAGCUUCAUGAUGAGAAGCCCCACAAGUGCUUGGAGUGUGGGAAGAGAUUCAGGUGAAGCAAUACCCUGAUCAGCCACCAGAUAAUCCACACUGGGGAAUGGCCCUACGAGUGUCCCCAGUGUGGAAAGAGCUUCUCCAGCAGCUCUUACUUGACGCAACAGCAACGGAGGCACCAAUAAGGAAAGUUCUGUGAGUGUCCUAACUGCAGGAAGAACUUCAUGCAUUGUAGGUCCUCCCAUGGGGAGGACCCAUGUUGGUCAGAGCCCACACUCACUGUGAUCCAUGUUGGGAAGACACCUGGCUGGUUCUCCUUUUGGUAUAGCUGUCAUUUGCUUCUGAUCUGUCUUCAUCCCUUAAAACUGCCUGAAAUAGGACUAAAAAUAAAGAAAUUGA